rnacentral:rRNA from 1 species
UACGAAGGGGGCUAGCGUUGCUCGGAAUUACUGGGCGUAAAGUGUGCGCAGGCGGCGCCGCAUGUCGAGUGUGAAAGCCCCGAGCUUAACUUGGGAAUUGCGCUCGAAACUACGGUGCUGGAGUGUGGCAGAGGAAGGUGGAAUUCCACGUGUAGCGGUGAAAUGCGUAGAGAUGUGGAGGAACACCGAUGGCGAAGGCAGCCUUCUGGGCCAACACUGACGCUCAUGCACGAAAGCGUGGGGAGCAAACAGG